rnacentral:rRNA from 1 species
GUGGGGAAUAUUGGGCAAUGGGGGAAACCCUGACCCAGCGACGCCGCGUGGGUGAAGAAAUCCCUCGGGAUGUAAAGCCCUGUUGUAUGGGAAGAGCAGAAGACGGUACCAUACGAGGAAGCCCCGGCAAACUACGUGCCAGCAGCCGCGGUAAUACGUAGGGGGCAAGCGUUGUCCGGAAUUACUGGGCGUAAAGCGCACGCAGGCUGAAUUAUAAGUCGGUAGUCAAAUACGGAGGCUCAACUUCCGGAUAUCUAUCGAUACUGUAAAUCUAGAGUAUGUGAGAGGGAAGCGGAAUUCCCGGUGUAGCGGUGAAAUGCGUAGAUAUUAGGAGGAAGACCAGUGGCGAAAGCGGCUUUCUGGACGACAACUGACGCUGAGGCGCGAAAGCCAGGGGAGCAAACGGGAUUAGAAACCCGAGUAGUCC